rnacentral:rRNA from 1 species
AUUGAACGCUGGCGGCAUGCCUUACACAUGCAAGUCGAACGGCAGCACGGGAGCAAUCCUGGUGGCGAGUGGCGAACGGGUGAGUAAUAUAUCGGAACGUGCCCAGUCGUGGAGGAUAACGCAGCGAAAGCUGUGCUAAUACCGCAUACGAUCUAAGGAUGAAAGCGGGGGAUCGCAAGACCUCGCGCGAUUGGAGCGGCCGAUAUCAGAUUAGCUAGUUGGUGGGGUAAAGGCCCACCAAGGCGACGAUCUGUAGCUGGUCUGAGAGGACGACCAGCCACACUGGAACGGAGACACGGUCCAGACUCCUACGGGAGGCAGCAGUGGGGAAUUUUGGACAAUGGGCGCAAGCCUGAUCCAGCAAUGCCGCGUGCAGGAUGAAGGCCUUCGGGUUGUAAACUGCUUUUGUACGGAACGAAACGGCCCUUUCUAAUACAGGGGGCUAAUGACGGUACCGUAAGAAUAAGCACCGGCUAACUACGUGCCAGCCGCCGCCGUAACAC